rnacentral:misc_RNA from 1 species
GAUGAAGAACGUAGCGAAAUGCGAUAAGUAGUGUGAAUUGCAGAAUUCAGUGAAUCAUCGAAUCUUUGAACGCACAUUGCGCCCCUCGGUAUUCCGAGGGGCAUGCCUGUUCGAGCGUCAUUAUAACCCUUCAAGCUCAGCUUGGUGUUGGGGCCUGCUGUAACUGGUAGCCCUUAAAAUCAGUGGCAGUGCUAUUAGGCUCUAAGCGUAGUAAUUCUUCUCGCUAUAGUGUGUAGUGAGCGCUUGCCAGAACCCCAAACUUUUAUAUGAUUGACCUCGGAUCAGGUAGGGAUACCCGCUGAACUUAAGCAUAUCAAUAAGCGGAGGA